rnacentral:sRNA from 1 species
AGUCCUGGCCUCAACAAGUUAUAUGCUUUGUACAAUCUUUUUUUCAUCUCAUUUUCAUGAAAACCCAGGACUGGGCAGGUGUUUGAAUUGACUGUCUUGAUUACCUUUCUUAGAUCGCUCCUGCUAUGGGAAGUCAUUGAGAAAGGGCUCCCUCUGCUGACAAAAAUGCGUCUUUGCUUUAUUUUGCAGGAGUUGGUUUCUUGGGAGACGAAACCAGGCUCCCUCCCGCUCCAGACCCAGGAGAGUCCUCCCAUUCCAUCUGCCCUGCCCAGGUGGAGCUUCAGUCGUUGUAUGUCGAUGUACACCCCAAAAAGGGAGAUUUGGUAUACUCUGAGAUCCAGACUAUUCGGCUGGGAGAAGAAGGGGAAGCUAAUACCUCCAGGACACUUCUAGAGGAUAAGGAUGUCUCAGUUGUCUACUCUGAGGUAAAGACACAACACCCA